CACUCCUACGGGAGGCAGCAGUGGGGAAUUUUGGACAAUGGGCGAAAGCCUGAUCCAGCCAUGCCGCGUGCAGGAUGAAGGCCUUCGGGUUGUAAACUGCUUUUGUACGGAACGAAACGGCCUUUUCUAAUAAAGAGGGCUAAUGACGGUACCGUAAGAAUAAGCACCGGCUAACUACGUGCCAGCAGCCGCGGUAAUACGUAGGGUGCAAGCGUUAAUCGGAAUUACUGGGCGUAAAGCGUGCGCAGGCGGUUAUGUAAGACAGUUGUGAAAUCCCCGGGCUCAACCUGGGAACUGCAUCUGUGACUGCAUAGCUAGAGUACGGUAGAGGGGGAUGGAAUUCCGCGUGUAGCAGUGAAAUGCGUAGAUAUGCGGAGGAACACCGAUGGCUAAGGCAAUCCCCUGGACCUGUACUGACGCUCAUGCACGAAAGCGUGGGGAGCAAACAGGAUUAGAUACCCUGGUAGUCC
rnacentral:rRNA from 1 species